GCUGGCGGCGUGCCUAACACAUGCAAGUCGAACGCGAAAGUCCUUCGGGAUGAGUAAAGUGGCGCACGGGUGAGUAACACGUAGGUGACCUUCCGUUUAGAGGGGAAUAACCAGAAGAAAUUUUGGCUAAUGCCGCAUACGAAGUACAAAUUUUAAAGUAGUACUUGAAAGGAUGCCUCUGUAUGUGCAUUCACUAAACGAUGGGCCUGCGGAACAUUAGCUAGUUGGUGGGGUAAUGGCCUACCAAGGCUACGAUGUUUAUCCGGUCUGAGAGGAUGAUCGGACACACUGGAACUGAGACACGGUCCAGACUCCUACGGGAGGCAGCAGUGGGGAAUAUUGCGCAAUGGGGGAAACCCUGACGCAGCAACGCCGCGUGAGUGAGGAAGGACUUCGGUCUGUAAAGCUCUGUUAAUGUGGAAAAAUGGUUAGUGGUCUAAUAGGCCAUUGAUUUGAUGGUACACAUAGAGGAAGCACCGGCUAACUUCGUGCCAGCAGCCGCGGUAAUACGAAGGGUGCAAGCGUUGUUCGGAUUUAUUGGGCGUAAAGCGCGCGUAGGCGGACCUUUAAGUCAGAUGUGAAAUCUCGGGGCUCAACCUCGAAACUGCGUCUGA
rnacentral:rRNA from 1 species